rnacentral:rRNA from 1 species
UACGUAGGGUGCGAGCGUUGUCCGGAAUUAUUGGGCGUAAAGGGCUCGUAGGCGGUUUGUCGCGUCGGGAGUGAAAACCAUGGGCUUAACUCAUGGCUUGCUUCCGAUACGGGCAGACUAGAGGCAUGCAGGGGAGAACGGAAUUCCUGGUGUAGCGGUGAAAUGCGCAGAUAUCAGGAGGAACACCGGUGGCGAAGGCGGAUCUCUGGGCCAUUACUGACGCUGAGGAGCGAAAGCGUGGGGAGCGAACAGG